UCUGUAUUUUGCCUUCACCUUUGAAUAAUAAUUUCACUACGGACAAAAUUCUCAAUGGAUACUUAUGGUUCCCCAGCACUUCGAAGAUAUUAUUUCAUUAUCAUCUGGUUUCUGUGGAUGCUUUUGAGAAGGCAGCUGCCAGAUAUACUUCUGUUUAUUUGCAGCACCUGGAACAGUGCCUGGCAUACAGUGGACAAUCAACACACAUUUGCUGAAUGAAUGACUAAAUGGCUUUCCUGAGUAGUAUCUGCGUGGUCUUGGGCAAGUCACUAGACCUCAGUUUCUGCAUGUGGAAAAGAUGAUAAGGACUACGUUGUAUGUUUUAUCAAAAGCAAGAUGAGAUAAUACAUUCAAAAGGGUUUUAAAAAGGUUAGUUAUCACUAAUAUCCUGUUCAGCCCUGCCUUUUUAUAGAUAAUAAAAUUAAUGCUAAAGUAAUAGCAAUUUAAUUAAUUUCUCCUGUUGGAAUUACUUUAAUUUUCAAAGAAGGCCAGAAGGGAGAGCUGGAAAAG
rnacentral:lncRNA from 10 species